rnacentral:rRNA from 1 species
AGCGAACGCUGGCGGCAGGCCUAACACAUGCAAGUCGAACGGACCCUUCGGGGUUAGUGGCGGACGGGUGAGUAACACGUGGGAACGUGCCUUUAGGUUCGGAAUAGCUCCUGGAAACGGGUGGUAAUGCCGAAUGUGCCCUUCGGGGGAAAGAUUUAUCGCCUUUAGAGCGGCCCGCGUCUGAUUAGCUAGUUGGUGAGGUAAUGGCUCACCAAGGCGACGAUCAGUAGCUGGUCUGAGAGGAUGACCAGCCACAUUGGGACUGAGACACGGCCCAAACUCCUACGGGAGGCAGCAGUGGGGAAUCUUGCGCAAUGGGCGAAAGCCUGACGCAGCCAUGCCGCGUGAAUGAUGAAGGUCUUAGGAUUGUAAAAUUCUUUCACCGGGGACGAUAAUGACGGUACCUGCAGAAGAAGCACCGGCUAACUACGUGCCAGCCGCCGCUGUAAGAC